CACUCUGUCACGUGUACACAGGAAAGGGCCCUGACAAGAGGAUGGGACUGCAGUUGUGGCUGCCAGGGCCCCGGCCAGGGUGAAAACAAGGAACAUUCCAGAGAAGAUCACAAGGAUGCGAAUAAAAUCGGAGCUGCACAGGGAUCUUUGGGCUGAGCUUUCUGUCUGGCUUCCCUCCUGGCCCCUCGUGUAUGCAUUCUCUCUAGCGGUGGGGAUUAAGGAGAAAACUCACGUGGCCAGUGGGUAGAGAGAGUCCGGGCAGGCAGCUGCCUGAAGUCAGCCAGAGUCUGCAUGUGCCCAGCUGUCCUGGCCUCCAGCAUCUCUGGAAAAACAGAGACAGAAUGAGUAGCAGCAGGGGACCCCAUAGGGCACAUCUGAAGGCCUGAGAGGUUGGAGUGCAGUGGCACGAUCUCGGCUCAGUGCAACCUCCGCCUCCUGAGUUCAAGUGAUUCUCCUGCCUCAGCCUCCCUAGUAGCUGGGAUUACAGGACAAGGAGAGGGACAAAUUCCUUCUUGGCAUCCUUAUGGCCCUGUGACCUGCUAAUGAAUGCUGACUCUGAGUUGCUACUAGAAUUUGGUUUCCUUGUGGCUUCCCAGGAAUUGUGAGCCAUGUUGGAUAAGGACCUGCAAGGGAAGAAUGAGGAAGCCUGGGACAGUGCAGGAGGGGAGAGCACUGGUGGUAGAGAGGAGUGAUGACAAGGGUCUCCGCCAAAAGGGAAAUGGAGGGGUUAAAGAAGCUGCUGGGGAGGGUUAAAAACAAUGUGUUCUCACUCGUAGGUGGGAAUUGAACAAUGAGAACACUUGGACACAGGAAGGGGAACAUCACACACUGGGGCCUGUCGUGGGGUGUGGGGAGGGAGGAGGGA
rnacentral:lncRNA from 1 species